rnacentral:rRNA from 1 species
UGAGGCCUCGGGGGGCAGCAGUGGGGGAUAUUGGACAAUGGGGGAAACCCUGAUCCAGCGACGCCGCGUGAGUGAAGAAGUAUUUCGGUAUGUAAAGCUCUGUCAGCAGGGAAGAAAGAAAUGACGGUACCUGACCAAGAAGCCCCGGCUAACUACGUGCCAGCAGCCGCGGUAAUACGUAGGGGGCAAGCGUUAUCCGGAAUUACUGGGUGUAAAGGGAGCGUAGACGGUGAUGCAAGUCUGGAGUGAAAGGCGGGGGCCCAACCCCCGGACUGCUCUGGAAACUGUGUAACUUGAGUGCAGGG